rnacentral:rRNA from 1 species
CCUACGGGAGACAGCAGUGAGGAAUAUUGGUCAAUGGGCGGAAGCCUGAACCAGCCAAGUAGCGUGCAGGAUGACGGCCCUACGGGUUGUAAACUGCUUUUAUACGGGAAUAACGCGCCUUACGUGUAGGGCUUUGCAUGUACCGUAUGAAUAAGGACCGGCUAAUUCCGUGCCAGCAGCCGCGGUAAUACGGAGGAUGCGAGAGUUAUCCGGAUGUUUUGGGUGAAAAGGGUGCGCAGGCGGUCUUUUAAAUCAGCGGUCAAAGCACGGGGCUCACCCCCGGCCCGCCGUUGAAACUGGCUGUCUCGAGUUGGAGAGAAGUAUGCGGAAUGCGCGGUGUAGCGGUGAAAUGCAUAGAUAUCGCGCAGAACUCCGAUUGCGAAGGCAGCAUGCCGGCUCCACACUGACGCUGAGGCACGAAAGCGUGGGUAUCGAACAGGAUUAGAUACCCUUGUAGUC